AUGACGAACCCACUGACGUCACGGAACGUGGCACGUGCAUGCAUGUUGGAUACAUGUCACUAAUAUCUGAGUUUAAAUCCUUAUGUGUCUACACAGGUUUGAUAAAUUUAGAUUUAAAAGUCUUGUAUGCACAGUUUCGUUAUGUGCCUAGUUAAUAUAUCAAUUAGUUCACCG